UGAGAGAGAGCCAGAGAGAAUUGGAUCGACUUGCUCUUAGUUUCUUGCACACACAGAAACACACCAGAGAAAGCCUGAGCUCUCAGUUCACACACGGUUUAGUCCCUUUUUGAAGCACAAACCCAGCUCCUGUGUGUCUUUGCGUCCAUUACCAGGAAAAACAAGCUCUCAGAGAGGAAGGACAGUGCGGUGUUAUCAUGAAGCCCUUCAAGCCUGCAUAAACCAGAAUCAAAGAAGUAAUGAUAUAACAGGUUUUCAGGAGUCUGAGGUUUCCAGUGGAAUCGACGUGUACAGUAAUGUGUGACUGGAGCUUUGUUGAUCUGAGAGGAGAGCACACUCGCUAGCUUUGAGAGAUAGUGGUGGAGAAUACCCCCCACCACCACCACCACCACCAGCAACAGCAGCCCCAGCUCCUGUGGCGAGCACAGCAUAGAAUCAGCAGAGAUCUUGGGGGAGAAACGGUCUCCUGUGUGUGCAAAGAAAGGAUCUGUGCCAUUUCUCUCUCCUUGGUGCAGCAUGCAUCUGUUUUGACGAUUGGCAGCCAUUUUGUUUUUAUGCAUUAAAGAUUCACUGUAUUCCCUCACAUCUGUAAAUUCUUUGAGGUUAUCCCAAAGGAAUAUUAUCAAUGUAAAUAAAUA